rnacentral:tRNA from 3 species
AAUAAAGUGCCUGAAAAAGGAUUAUUCUGAUAGGAUAAAUUAUGUAGAAUUCUACCUUUAUUA